UUGAUCAAAAUAAGAGCUUAGCUACUGAAAAGCUAUUUGAUUCAGAAAACAGCGACGCUACCACCACACUACUGAGAAAUGUAGUUAAGCUAGUAGCGUAACUACUUGUAGCGACGCUACUGCCCAACACUGCUGAAAGGACACCAAAGUUUAGUAGCCUAUGUAUUGUAACGUAGAACUUUAAGAAUGCAUUUGAGGAGUUUGUUUUCACUUAAUUCCAGGCAUAGGAUUAUCGUGGCUGGAUAUAUCAAUGAUGGAUCAUUCAUUUUAUUUUAAAGGUAAACUAUGUUCUGGAUGAGAGUAGGCCUGCCAAUGAAAUAAUUAUCAAGGAAGGUCCAACAUGCUUGACCAGGGAGAACCUGUUAUCUUUAGGUUUGAACAGGAAGAUGGAUUCAGUGGUGGGAAAUGCCUGUCUCAGGCUUGUUAAGGAGUUAGUCACGCUACAGGGGAAAAAUAUCUUUAUUGUUGACCUACACAUCCCCCCAACAUGGCUCCCUCCCUUGAGUUGUGACCCUUUAGCCAGUCUUCCUGUAAGUACCCAUUUGUGCAGCACUUAAUAAACUGAUUUGAACUGACAACAUAACAUGUUUUCUUUAAGGUCAACUCUGCACAAAAAGAUGAACUGCUAUUCCCACUGUG